UACGAAGGGGGCUAGCGUUGUUCGGAAUUACUGGGCGUAAAGCGCACGUAGGCGGAUAUUUAAGUCAGGGGUGAAAUCCCAGAGCUCAACUCUGGAACUGCCUUUGAUACUGGGUAUCUUGAGUAUGGAAGAGGUAAGUGGAAUUGCGAGUGUAGAGGUGAAAUUCGUAGAUAUUCGCAGGAACACCAGUGGCGAAGGCGGCUUACUGGUCCUAACUGACGCUGAGG
rnacentral:rRNA from 1 species